GGCUUACUUCUAAGGUUACCAGUUACACAC
rnacentral:piRNA from 1 species